CUGGGCCGAGCCACCUUGCGGGGCCGGCUGGGCCGAGCCACCUUGCGGGGCCGGCUGGGCCGAGCCACCUUGCGGGGCCGGCUGGGCCGAGCCACCUUGCGGGGCCGGCUGGGCUGAGCCACUAUGCAAUUUUAUACAGUACCAGUCAAAAGUUUGGACACCUACUCAAAGGGUUUUUCUUUAUUUUUACUAUUUUCUACAUUGUAGAAUAAUAGAAUACAUCAAAACUGUGUGUGUGUGUGGAGUCGUAUAGUAAUCAAAAAUAUGUUAAACAAAUGAAAAUAUGUUUUUAAGAUUCUUCAAAGUAGCCACCUUUGCUUUGAUGACAGCUUUGCAUUCUUGCAACUGACUUCAUGAGGUAGUCACCUGAAAUGCUUUUCCAACAGUCUUGAAGGAGUUCCCACAUAUGCUGAGCAUUUGUUGGUUGCUUUUCCUUCACUCUGCAGUCCAACUCAUCCUAAACCAUCUCAAUUGGGUUGAGGUCAGGUGAUCUGGGUCAUUGUCCUGUUAAAAACAAAUGAUAGUCCCACUAAGCCAAACCAGAUGGGACGUUGUAUCGCUGCAGAAUGCUGUGGUAGCCAUGCUGGUUAAGUGUGCCUUUCAUUCAAAUAAAUCACAGUGUCACCAGCAAAGCACCUCCACACCAUCACACCAUAACACCUCCUCCAUGCUUCACGGUGGGAACUAGACAUGUGGAGAUCAUCCGUUCACCUACUCUGCAUCUCACAAAGACAUGGCGGUUGGAACCAAAAAUAAAAAAUAUGGACCCAUCAGACCAAAGGACAGAUUUCCACUGGUCUAAUGUCCAUUGCUCGUGUUUCUUGGCCCAAGCAAGUCUCUUCUUCUUAUUGGUGUCCUUUAGUAGUGGUUUCUUUGCAGCAAUUCAACCAUGACGGUCUGAUUCACGCAGUCUCCUCUGAACAGUUGAUGUUGAGAUGUCUGUUACUUGAACUCUGAAGCAUUUAUUUGAGCUGCAAUUUCUGAGGCUGAACUUAACCUCAGUAGUAAAGGUAACUCUGGGUCUUCCUUUCCUGUGGCGGUCCUCAUGAGAGACAGUUUCAUCAUAGUGCUUGAUGGUUUUUGCGACUGCACUUGAAGUUCAAAGUUCUUAAUUUUCCAGAUUGACUGACCUUCAUGUCUUAAAGUCAAGAUGGACUGUCGUUUCUCUUUGCUAAUUUGAGCUGUUCUUGCCAUAACAUGGACUUAGCCCUAUUUGGUAAAAUACCAUCUUCUGUAUACCACCACUACCAUGUCACAACACAACUGAUUGGCUCAAACACAUUAAGUGGGAAAGAAAUUCCAUAAAUGAACGUUUAACAAUGCACACCUGUUAAUUGAAAUGCAUUCCAGGUGACUAACACAUGAAGCUGGUUGAGAGAAUACCAAGAGUGUGCAAAGCUGUUAUCAAGGAAAAGGUUGUCUUGAAGAAUCUCGUAAAAUAUUUUGAUUUGUUUAACACUUUUGGUUACAUGAUUUCAUAGUGAAGACAUCAAAACUAUUCUACAAUAUAGAAAAUAGUAAAAAUAAAGAAAAACCCUGGAAUGAGUAAGUGUCCAAGCUUUUGACAGGUAGUUUGUGUAUGUAUGUGAGAAACUUUAUUUGUUAUCAUUUAUGGCAAUGUUUUGCUCUAGAUUGCAGGAAAUGGCAGUUACAGGUGUUAAAAAAUACAACUAUCCCGGAGUCCAAAACCCUGGUGGAGAACCCUGAAAUAAGGUUUUGUGUUAUUGAUUUUUAUAAUAUAUACGAUUGGUAGGUCGUAAUAUGGAAGGUAAUAUGUUGCUAGAUUGUGUAAUGAACACGAUGGGAGACAGAGCUGGUUUAAAGAGCAGGGCGCAGGUGUUUAUUGGAGGAGGCAGGUAGCUGGGUCCAGGGGCAGGCAGAAGGUCAUACACAGGAGGAGGCAGGUAGCUGGGUUCAGGGGCAGGCAGAAGGUCAUACACAGGAGGAGGCAGGUAGCUGGGUCCAGGGGCAGGUGGCUGGGUCCAGGGGCAGGCAGAAGGUCAUACACAGGAGGAGGCAGGUAGCUGGGUUCAGGGGCAGGCAGAAGGUCAUACACAGGAGGAGGCAGGUAGCUGGGUCCAGGGGCAGGCAGAAGGUCAUACACAGGAGGAGGCAGGUAGCUGGGUCCAGGGGCAGGCAGAAGGUCAUACACAGGAGGAGGCAGGUAGCUGGGUCCAGGGGCAGGCAGAAGGUCAUACACAGGAGGAGGCAG
ensembl:lncRNA